UUACGGCCACACCACGUUGAAAAACCGGUCCCAGUACGAUCACUGAAGUUGAGCAACGUCGAGCCUGGUCAGUACCUAGAUGGGUGACAGCUUGGGAAUACCACGUGCU